rnacentral:lncRNA from 1 species
AACUUUGGUUGGUCAACCCAUGUGCAUCUAUGGGUAGGUUCAUAACCAGUUGUUUCUCUAAAUAACUUCUAGUAAUUGAUUUUGCCCCAGAACCUAAUCAGUAGGCUUUGGCCUCCACUGAAAAGAUCUGAUUAGGUCCAACCAUUAACAUGAUUUGAUUUGGUGAAUCGAACCAAUAAAUGAUCAGGUCCGACUUUGGCCGGCCAACCUGAUCACCAUCAGAAAGACUCAAACCAAAUUAUCAUAUUAUGAAUGAUAAUUCCAUUAGUCAAUAAGCACCAGGCCUUUGGGCCUCCAAUGAUUAUUAAACUAAUGGACUCAUUAUCACUCACUUAAUGGAAGGCUAUG